AUGAGGAGAUACAUCACCACUCACAAUAAUGCAGCGAAAAGGGAGAAGUGGAGCAGGGUUGCGUACGAGGUAACAAUAAACGAAGAUAUGUCGAUCUUCAGUUGCGAAUGCGGCCAGUUCGAGCAUACUGGCAUGCUUUGCAGCCAUUCGUUGAGGGUGAUGGAAAUUCUUCACAUGGAGGAGAUCCCCAAGCAUCAUAUCAUGAAGCGGUGGAUGAGGGAUGCGAGAGAUGUACUGCCUAGGCACCUGGUUCAGUACCAGAAAGACAGUUCGCAAAACCUGUCAUUCACAUGCAGGCAUGCAACUCUGUAUGUGAAAGCUAUGGAGGUCGUGAGGAUGAGAGACGCAAGUGUUGCAUCAUAUGAUCAUGUGAACGCGGCUCUCGACGCUGUGCUACAGAGUGGGGCAGCGAUUGCGGAGAAGAGGGAUGGGCUGGCUUUCGAGGAUCGGCUCGUUGAACAUACACCUGCAAUACCAGGACCAAAUGGGGAACUAGCGUUUGUCUCGCUGAGCAAUGAACAAUGCCGGAGCCCCGGUCAUUCUGUCAGUGUGAAUGCAAUGCAGAAACUAGCAGCUCCAGACAAGCAUAGAGGUGCUGGGAGACCGACAAGCAGCCGAGAGAAGGCUCCGUACGAGGGGUUAAGCAAGAGGACAAGAUUCUGCAGCAUAUGCCGUCGCGAGGGUCAUAAGAAGACGACGUGCCCAGAAAGGGGGGAUGCGCCGAAGAAGCCACGGAAACUUGGCAAAUGCAAGAACUGUGGAAUAGAAGGGCAUCGACGAAAUACAUGCAAGAGGCCGCUUGGGGUGCCGAGCCAUGAGUUGUAUGGAAUCGGACUUUCUCAUGUUUCAGUGAUUUGUUUGAAUGAUUUCCAUCGAGUGUUUACACUGGAUCAGCAAUGCAUCUGUACUUUUAGCAGUGUAGACAGCCUGUGUACGGCGAUGUAUCUGAGAGCACAAUCUUUCUUUCUGUAG
rnacentral:rRNA from 1 species